GUCGAGCGGAUGACGGGAGCUUGCUCCUUGAUUCAGCGGCGGACGGGUGAGUAAUGCCUAGGAAUCUGCCUGGUAGUGGGGGACAACGUUUCGAAAGGAACGCUAAUACCGCAUACGUCCUACGGGAGAAAGCAGGGGACCUUCGGGCCUUGCGCUAUCAGAUGAGCCUAGGUCGGAUUAGCUAGUUGGUGGGGUAAUGGCUCACCAAGGCGACGAUCCGUAACUGGUCUGAGAGGAUGAUCAGUCACACUGGAACUGAGACACGGUCCAGACUCCUACGGGAGGCAGCAGUGGGGAAUAUUGGACAAUGGGCGAAAGCCUGAUCCAGCCAUGCCGCGUGUGUGAAGAAGGUCUUCGGAUUGUAAAGCACUUUAAGUUGGGAGGAAGGGCAGUAAGCUAAUACCUUGCUGUUUUGACGUUACCGACAGAAUAAGCACCGGCUAACUCUGUGCCAGCAGCCGCGGUAAUACAGAGGGUGCAAGCGUUAAUCGGAAUUACUGGGCGUAAAGCGCGCGUAG
rnacentral:rRNA from 1 species